rnacentral:misc_RNA from 1 species
CCUGUCACUGGUAUUAUUCUUCAAACUCAAACCUGUCCCAAACCCGAUUAUGUAUUACCUAAACCCGUUCUAUUAGGGUUCGGUCGGAUCGAGUACUUGAAAAAACCCGACCCGUUUUCAGCCCUACAGAUCCCCCAUUUCUUCCCUAAAUGCCCAAUGGCUUUCCCAAAUCCCUAAUUUCUAUACACCCAUAUCGCCAUUCCAGAUAAAGUUAAUAAACAAAUUCAAAUCUUCAAUGCGUCAUGCACAAAAAUGAAACAAAAUUACAAGAAGUCAAGACUAAAAUCUGAAUAAAAAACAAAACUAACAUUGUACAAUCAACAAAAUAAAAUAUCCAUCAUCAAAAAAGUAAAACAAAAUAGCAGAAAAGCAAAUUAAAAAAAAAUUGAAUAGGAGGCCAAGGCUGCAUGAGGAGUUAAAAGCUUGAAUAUAGAGCCUUCAAAGGUGAGAUGAAGACAAGAACACAUAUUGCAUCAAUACUCAACUGAUGGAACCCAGAAGAUGAGGAUAACACAAUGCCUUCAAAGGUGAGUGGAGAUCGAGAUGAUGAACUGAAUGGCUAGCAGCAAAAAUGAAUGAGAAUCUUUGAACGAGAGGAGGCUGAGAUUAGAGAAGAGAAUGAAGUCAACCUACCAAACGGGUAGUGAAUGAAAAGUGAAAGAAAAAGAUGGCUAUUUGCUCUCAAGUGCUCUCUUAAAUUUGGUUAACGGCAUGAGGAUGCGAGAAUUGAGAAGAGGGAGGCUGGCGUUAGAUAUUAGAGAAGUACAUGUAUAGUCGUAUUGGACGGCUGAGAUUAGAGUAAAUGAAUGACUAUGAUUAUUUGUCAAAAAAGAAGGCUAAAAAAAAUUAAAUAAGUGUGGGGCUUGGGAAUCGAACACCAAACUUGUAGGUAGAAUUUUAGAACAUUAACCACUAGGCCACAGAUGGUAUAAGCAAUAUGCAAAUAUGCUAAUAAAAUUAUAUAUUGGUUUGGUUCUGUUUUUCUGAUUUUUUCUUUCAAAAGCCUAAGCGGAUCGCAAUAACUGAAAAUUUUAUAAACUAAAACCGGACCAAACUGAAUAACAAUAAAAUCGAACCGAAAUUAGUUGGUUCGGUCGAUUUUUCUGUUUGAACUGAAUUCUGCUUACCCCUAGUAAAAUUGGUUUGGAUUGAAUGUAAAAUGGAUAUGUAUUAGUCAACAAGGAGAGGCAACUCAAAAGAAUCAUUCAAAGGAUUUUUCUGGAGUGCCAAAGGAUAAUAUGUGUUCAACCUGGGUUCUUGCUAAUCUUAUAGGGUUCUUGCUAACUUCAAGACUUGCUUACCUUUUUGGCAAGUUACCUAGUCUCUAUGGUUAAUUAUCUUGCUCCUUGUUCUGUAUUUGAUUCAUAAAAAUUACCAUCAUGCCAAUAAGGCAUGGACGUCUUAGGGAAAAAAGAUCUGGAUGUGUUGCUUGGUAACUUGAAUUGUGGAUGUUUAAAAUGAAACCUCAUAGCGCUUUUGGUGCUAGGGAAAGUGAACAUAAUUUUGGGCCCUCGCUAUUUCACUUUAAUAGGUGUGCAAAAGAGAUGAGAUUCAUGAAUGAUCCUUUCCAUUGUUUCAUUAAUGAGAGCAUUGUUUAGGCCUGUUCAAAAUCCACGGUAAACCAACCCUGCCUAAAAAGGGUGCAUUUUACAUUUAUUUGGUUGGUUUUUUUUUCCACACAUUUUAUAUGGUGAUGGUUUAGACCAUUAUUCCUUUUAACGACUCCCUUUAUUGUAGUGCACACUGGCUUGCAGUCAAAUGUAGUGUUAAGAGUGAAUACAAUUGAUCUCAUUUGUGUAUGUGCACUAUCUGUUUUGCAAAUGGUUUGUCUCUCCUAUGUGCUUUUGCCAGACUUGCUUAACAAAAUUUUUGGUGGUUGAG